rnacentral:rRNA from 1 species
ACGGUCCUAGAGAUAGGACUCACCCUUCGGGGGAGCCAGAGACAGGUGCUGCAUGGCUGUCGUCAGCUCGUGUCGUGAGAUGUUCGGUUAAGUCCGGCAACGAGCGCAACCCCUAUUACUAGUUGCCAGCAUUAAGUUGGGCACUUUAGUGAUACUGCCUGUGUUAAGCAGGAGGAAGGUGGGGAUGACGUCAAGUCCUCAUGGCCCUUAUGACCAGGGCUACAUACGUAAUACAAUGGUCGGUACAGAGGGAAGCUAGCUAGUGAUAGUAAGCAAAUCCCAAAAAACCGAUCUCAGUUCGGAUUGGAGUCUGCAACUCGACUCCAUGAAGGUGGAAUCGCUAGUAAUCGCGGAUCAGCAUGCCGCGGUGAAUAUGUUCCCGGGUCUUGUACACACCGCCCGUCACACCACGAAAGUUGAUUUAACCGGAAGUCGCUGUGCUAACCCUUCGGGGAAGCAAGCGCCCAUGGUUAGAUUGGUAAUUGGGGUGAAGUCGUAACAAGGUA